CGACGGGUGAGUAACGCUGGGGAACCUGCCCUNUACCGGGGGACAACAGCCAGAAAUGGCUGCUAAUACCGCAUAACCCUGCGGUGCCGCAUGGCACUGCAGGAAAAACUCCGGUGGUACAGGAUGGCCCCGCGUCUGAUUAGCUUGUUGGCGGGGUAACGGCCCACCAAGGCAGCGAUCAGUAGCCGGCUUGAGAGAGCGGACGGCCACAUUGGGACUGAGACACGGCCCAGACUCCUACGGGAGGCAGCAG
rnacentral:rRNA from 1 species